GACGAACGCUGGCGGCGUGCUUAACACAUGCAAGUCGAGCGGUAAGGCCCCUUCGGGGGUACACGAGCGGCGAACGGGUGAGUAACACGUGAGCAAUCUGCCCUUCACACGGGGAUAACCACCGGAAACGGUGGCUAAUACCCGAUACGACCACUUCAGGCAUCUGAUGGUGGUGGAAAGUUCCGGCGGUGGAGGAUGAGCUCGCGGCCUAUCAGCUUGUUGGUGGGGUAAUGGCCUACCAAGGCAACGACGGGUAGCCGGCCUGAGAGGGUGACCGGCCACACUGGGACUGAGACACGGCCCAGACUCCUACGGGGGGCAGCAGUGGGGAAUAUUGGACAAUGGGCGAAAGCCUGAUCCAGCAACGCCGCGUGAGGGAUGACGGCCUUCGGGUUGUAAACCUCUUUCAGCAGGGACGAAGCGCAAGUGACGGUACCUGCAGAAGAAGCACCGGCCAACUACGUGCCAGCAGCCGCGGUAAUACGUAGGGUGCGAGCGUUGUCCGGAAUUAUUGGGCGUAAAGGGCUCGUAGGCGGUUUGUCGCGUCGGGAGUGAAAACUCAGGGCUUAACCCUGAGCCUGCUUCCGAUACGGGCAGACUAGAGGUAUGCAGGGGAGAACGGAAUUCCUGGUGUAGCGGUGAAAUGCGCAGAUAUCAGGAGGAACACCGGUGGCGAAGGCGGUUCUCUGGGCAUUACCUGACGCUGAGGAGCGAAAGUGUGGGGAGCGAACAGG
rnacentral:rRNA from 1 species